GCAGCUUUGAAAAGGGCUUAGCAAGCUCUCUCACUGGAGAUGCUAGUCCUUCCUGAACAUCCCAUGUACCCUAAUUAUCCAAGAAGAUAAAUGACAAACAAAAGAAUUUCAAUUUUUAUUUAAAGGCAAUGGGAAUCAUUGGAGUUUCUGUAGCAGAAGAAUUAGAAAGUAAAACCUGUGAUUUAGAAAUAUCAGCAUGGCAACUAUGUAAAUGAUGGAAUGAGGGGAUGAAAGACUGCAGACAUGGAAAGCAAUUAAGAGUAUGUUUCUUUGAAGCAAGAGGUGAUGAGGACCUGAACGGGUAUAAUUAUUUUAUGAAGGAAGAGUCUAGGCACCAUACCAUAGUGGACAGAGAGACAGCUUCACAGUUAAGAAGACCUCGAUUGAUGAUUGCUGGUCCGCUGAAUCACCGCCUGCCACACACACUCUUGCUUGAUGGAAGAGUGAACCUGGCUUAACAAAACCUUCUAUUUGUGAAGGAGAAGUCACAGAAAAUCUUAAUGAGAGACCCAAGGAAGAGACACAUAUUGGAAUAGAAGGAGUGAGUUUUGGGGUCUAAAUAUUAUAAUAAAAGCUGAGUUUGCUGG
rnacentral:lncRNA from 1 species